UAAUAAUAACAAAAUCCUUUAAAUUCUAAUGAAAGAUUUAUUAUUUUAAGAGUUGUUUAUUAUUUUGGGUGAAUUAUUGUCACGACCAGCAGUUAAAGGGUUAACUUUUCAGGAAGAAAAACGCUAGCAUCGCUCUUAACCAAUGAGCUCUUUCCAAGAGGCGCAUUGUCCCGCCCACCACCUCGGUGACUUCCUCCUUCAUUUCCGUUGCUACUUGAUCGCUGAGCUGCUAACUGAACAAGGAGACGGAGAUUCACGGAAGAAGAGAGUGUUGGAAGUUAGAGGAGGCGCCAUUUUGUGCUGCUGUGCUGUCCUCUGAAGAGACCGAAAAAAUAUGUACCAGUCAGGGGAAAACCAGCUGUGCAAUAAGCACACAGAGGAGGAGUAGGAAGCCGUUUCUUGAUGCAUGAAAAAUAUUUGGCUGACUUUGUGUUAAUAUGGUGCUGGGAUGCAGUGGACGCCUUCAACAGCCUCAUUGUAGGAAUUAUAUUUUUGUCUAGGGAGAAAAAUCAGAGUUUCUGAACUGGACACAACUCUGCAGGGUUGUAAAUACAAUCCGAUUAAAAUAAUUUAAAUUUACCUUAAAAUCAUAUUAACACUACCUGUUUGUGGACAGUAAAAAUUGCAACAUAAUAAAGUAUUGUAGUAUUUACCCAAAUUUUGGGGGUAUUAAAUUGCAUUGUGCGCGUGCACCAGAAAGUGUCCGGUCUCCCCUGGAGCUCAAAGCGAUACCCACACAGGAAGUUAACCACCAACCUCCCACUGACUGCGUCCGAAUAUCAAAAGAAACUUCUAUAACUUCAAGAAACUGCCAGCAGAGGUAAAAUGAUUACUGAGGAACUGUAACUCAAGUAAAGGUACUACGAAUAGGCCUGUCACAAAAACAAUUUUUUCUGGACAAUAAAUUCAUGUUAUUGUGUAUUUAAACACAACUUUGAAUUUUGAAUGGUCUUUUUAAUGAUUUUCUAAUUUAAGACGAAGUUGUAAUAAAAACUCAAACUAAUGUUCAUAAUUUCAACAGAUGAU